GCAUGGAAGAGGAAGAAAAGAGGGUCUAAGAGCAGUGGGCAUGGGAACAUGUAGGAAGGCCUUUGAGAUGGAAAGCUCAUUUUGGGUCUUCCUGAUGCCUCCCAUGCCUAUUGUUCUUAGGUGCUCCUUCCUCUUGCUUUUGGCU
rnacentral:pre_miRNA from 1 species